UCGAACGCGAAAGUCCCGAAAGGGGCAAGUAGAGUGGCAAACGGGUGAGUAACGCGUGGGUGACCUGCCUUCGAGCGGGGGAUAACGUUCCGAAAGGGACGCUAAUACCGCAUAACAUCCUGCCUUUGAAAAGGUGGAGAUCAAAGCUGGGGAUCGCAAGACCUGGCACUUGAAGAGGGGCCCGCGUCUGAUUAGCUAGUUGGUGAGGUAACGGCCCACCAAGGCAACGAUCAGUAUCCGGCCUGAGAGGGCGGACGGACACACUGGGACUGAGACACGGCCCAGACUCCUACGGGAGGCAGCAGUGGGGAAUUGUUCGCAAUGGGCGCAAGCCUGACGACGCAACGCCGCGUGGAGGAUGAAGAUUUUCGGAUCGUAAACUCCUGUCGAAUGGGACGAAUAGGUCGCGGGUCAACAACCCGUGAUCCUGACGGUACCGUUAAAGGAAACCCCGGCUAACUCCGUGCCAGCAGCCGCGGUAAUACNGGGGGGGGUAAGCGUUGUUCGGAAUUACUGGGCGUAAAGGGCUCGUAGGCGGCCAACUAAGUCAGACGUGAAAUCCCUCAGCUUAACUGGGGAACUGCGUCUGAUACUGGAUGGCUUGGAUUCGGGAGAGGAAUGCGGAAUUCCAGGUGUAGCGGUGAAAUGCGUAGAUAUCUGGAGGAACACCGGUGGCGAAAGCGGCAUUCUGGACCGAUAUUGACGCUGAAGAGCGAAAGCCAGGGGAGCAAACGGGAUUAGAUACCCCGGUAG
rnacentral:rRNA from 1 species